AGCCCCCUGACAAUGGACAAGGAGAUACCUGAUUGGUGUUUCUCUUAUAUCGGUCAAAGGCAAAGCAAACUACAGUCCUUAGUUCAUCCUAGUUUGACACCUGUGUUGGUGGCCAGAGCGGUUUCAUGCCUAGGACACAUUA